rnacentral:rRNA from 1 species
UGGGGAAUAUUGGGCAAUGGGCGCAAGCCUGACCCAGCAACGCCGCGUGAAGGAAGAAGGCUUUCGGGUUGUAAACUUCUUUCUUGGGGACGAAGAAAGUGACGGUACCCGAGGAAUAAGCCACGGCUAACUACGUGCCAGCAGCCGCGGUAAUACGUAGGUGGCAAGCGUUAUCCGGAUUUAUUGGGUGUAAAGGGCGUGUAGGCGGGAAUGCAAGUCAGAUGUGAAAACUAUGGGCUCAACCCAUAGCCUGCAUUUGAAACUGUAUUUCUUGAGUGCUGGAGAGGCAAUCGGAAUUCCGUGUGUAGCGGUGAAAUGCGUAGAUAUACGGAGGAACACCAGUGGCGAAGGCGGAUUGCUGGACAGUAACUGACGCUGAGGCGCGAAAGCGUGGGGAGCAAACAGGAUUAGAUACCC